CGGGUACGAGUAGAGUGGCAAACGGGUGCGUAACACGUGGGAACCUACCCUUUGGUUCGGAAUAGCCCUGGGAAACUGGGAUUAAUACCGGAUAAGAACUACGGUUGAAAGAUUUAUCGCCGAAGGAUGGGCCCGCGCUAGAUUAGCUUGUUGGUAAGGUAAUGGCUUACCAAGGCUACGAUCUAUAGCUGGUUUGAGAGGAUGAUCAGCCACACUGGGACUUAGAUACGGCCCAGACUCC
rnacentral:rRNA from 1 species